GGGCGGACCCCGCCGAACCGCCCGUCCUGAUGGCCGGGUGGACCGGGGACCCAUGUUCUCUGGGGUGAAUCCCGUCUGCGCUCCCGCAGGCUGACGGGUAGGGCCACGUUCCGGCCCGAACCCGUCAGCUGACCUGGUAGGCGGACCGAGGAACGGA
rfam:Blastococcus saxobsidens DD2 complete genome